GUGGCCCCUUCCUGUCCAGAGAGACCCUCUGCCCACUUCGCUGGCCAACAUAUCCCCUUCUGAUAACACAUGGGCUCAGGGGAGCUUUGGCUAAAACAUGAAACCAUUUGAAAAGUCCAGGGCUGCCCAAAUCUUCUCCAAACCCCCACCCCCCGCCUCUCUUCUCUUCUGUGCCAUCAGGGUGACCACAGCCUAAGCGAGGGGCUGGUGGAUGAGACAGGCACACUCAGGAGGCAGCUUCAGGAGCAGGAAGAAACGGUGAGGGAGCUCAGACGGCAGCUGGAGGAAGCGACGGGAAGACUUGGGGAUGCCCAGGCCCAGAUCAGCUGCCUUCAAGGGGAAGUGCUGGAGAAAGAGUCACUCCGCGAAGAACAGGCUGCCCAGCUUCAGGCAGAAAUCCACCAGGCGGAGGCCUGGGCGGCCCGCGAAGCCGAAAUGCAGCAGAAUCUGAGGCAGCUGCAGCGAAAAGUGGAGGAACAAGAGGAGGCUUUGCUGGGCCAGACAAAGGUGGUCGAACUGCUACAGCAGGAACUGAACGUCACUCAGGAGGAAAAGCAGGUAUAUUGCCUGGGGGUUUCCCCG
rnacentral:lncRNA from 1 species